rnacentral:tRNA from 1 species
UAGCUCAGUUGGCUAGAGCAUGGUGUUAAUAAUGCCAAGAUUGUGGGUUCAAUUCCCAC